CCCCUCAUGAGGUAAUGGAAGCCUGCCGGAUUCUCGAUCCGGUCGCGCGGGUUCAACCCCGCUGAGGGUC
rnacentral:tRNA from 1 species